GUACUCGAGCGGCGAACGGGUGAGUAACACGUGAGCAACCUGCCCCUGACUCUGGGAUAAGCCCGGGAAACUGGGUCUAAUACCGGAUAUAACCACUGAUCUCAUGAUCGGGUGGUGGAAAGUUUUUCGGUUGGGGAUGGGCUCGCGGCCUAUCAGCUUGUUGGUGGGGUGAUGGCCUACCAAGGCGACGACGGGUAACCGGCCUGAGAGGGCGACCGGUCACACUGGGACUGAGACACGGCCCAGACUCCUACGGGAGGCAGCAGUGGGGAAUAUUGCGCAAUGGGCGGAAGCCUGACGCAGCGACGCCGCGUGAGGGAUGACGGCCUUCGGGUUGUAAACCUCUUUCAGCAGGGACGAAGCUAACGUGACGGUACCUGCAGAAGAAGCGCCGGCUAACUACGUGCCAGCAGCCGCGGUAAUACGUAGGGCGCAAGCGUUGUCCGGAAUUAUUGGGCGUAAAGAGCUCGUAGGCGGUUUGUCGCGUCUGUCGUGAAAGCCCACGGCUUAACCGUGGGUCUGCGGUGGAUACGGGCAGACUAGAGGCAGGUAGGGGAGAAUGGAAUUCCCGGUGUAGCGGUGAAAUGCGCAGAUAUCGGGAGGAACACCGGUGGCGAAGGCGGUUCUCUGGGCCUGUACUGACGCUGAGGAGCGAAAGCGUGGGGAGCGAACAGGAUUAGAUACCCUGGUAGUCCACGCCGUAAACGUUG
rnacentral:rRNA from 1 species